ensembl:lncRNA
AGACAGGAAAUCCAGUGGCGUAGUGGUUCUACUGUUUGUUGAACAUGACAUGCAUUUGCGUGAGCAGUAGAGAUACGUUCAAGUGUGUACCUUUAGCUUUUAGCAUCUGUCUUGGUCACCGGAUGACUGGACUAGACAGGACGAAAGGUGGGCUCUCUCACGUGCCUGUAUGCAGGAAAGUGAGUGUGUGAAUGACCUUUCCAUCAACACGUGGUUUCCAUGUCGAAAGCAACGGCUGUCAAGCUUGCUGUCCUCGUCUUCCUCGCCUUCAUCAUUUGCCUGCCAGAGUACUUUCCGUCUGACACAGAUCCAGUGUUGCAGAUCCCAUUUUACUGUUUGUCCUUUGACCCCUGUGACCCUAUGAGUGGACAAGGUCUUAAAGAUGGACAGAUCUGUCAGGAGUACAGGAAUAUAAGCAAGAUUAACGCCCUAUGCGAAGAGGAGACAAAAGAGAGCAUGAUCAGCCAAGACAAAGUGGUGCAGGACUGGUUUGUGUGUGAGACUGAGGCUGACCUAUGGAGUCUCCAUGACAACGCCUUGCUCUCAGAACUAGACGUGGUCUUGAUGCUACAGGUCACAAAUCAGACUUUCCAGAAUGUGACCAUGCAUGGUCAUUUCAACCAAAGUGGACUGCACAUAGACACCUGCCUGAACUUCACUCUGUUAGACUGUUGCGCCCAAAGAGACUGCGCAUAUCCAAACAAAGUCAAGGCAAGCCCAACCUCCCACAAACCAGUUACACCAAAUGGACUGUCCACAGUGCCUUCAUCAGGAGAAACAGACUCUAUCUCUAAUCUCAAGUGUCAAUCAAACAGAAGCCAGUGCCUCUUUCGCUAUGUAGGAUACAACGUUAUCAAAACAUCUACUAAGGAAGUGAGGUGGUGGGGUUUUGGCGCUGCUGUGUGGAUGAUUCUGGUACUCAUUGUGGUUGUAGUGGUCAUGCUAAGUGUCUGGGCUCAGGUCUGCACAAGCAGAAGCUGCUUCCAUGCACACUCGGCACCGGUUUCAGUCACUGCCCGUCGGCCUAAGAGCUUCUCCAAACGAAGAGUUAAGUCUUUAGGUGAUUUGCCUGAUAUUUCCCUCUCAGUAUGGAGCACAGAAGAUGAAGAGCUGUUCUUAGAGAAGAUGCCAAAGGAUUACUCAAGAGAAUGCCUCCAUUUGUCACAUCAGGAAAUGUACAAGCGAGGACUGUCCCCUAUUCAUGAGGUGUCUUUGACAGAUGUCUCUUUGGAUGAAGAUUAUGAAAAAAAGAAGUCUGAGAAUAUAGUAACAGAAGAAGGGUCAGAGGAUUCCCUGAACUUUCACCAAGCACCAGCCCACACACAGUCCUUACCUUGCCUGCAUCAUCGCAGUCACCCCUCUCAGAAAGACGAAGAGGAAUCAACAUAA